rnacentral:rRNA from 1 species
AGAGUUUGAUCCUGGCUCAGAAUCAACGCUGGCGGCGUGCCUAACACAUGCAAGUCGCACGAGAAAGGGGCUUCGGCUCUGAGUAAAGUGGCGCACGGGUGAGUAACACGUGAAUCAUCUACCCUCGAGUGGGGAAUAACCUAGAGAAAUCUGGGCUAAUACCGCAUAACACUUACGAGUCAAAGCAGCAAUGCGCUUGGGGAGGAGUUCGCGGCCGAUUAGUUAGUUGGCGGGGUAAUGGCCCACCAAGACGAUGAUCGGUAUCCGGCCUGAGAGGGCGCACGGACACACUGGAACUGAAACACGGUCCAGACUCCUACGGGAGGCAGCAGUGGGGAAUUUUGCGCAAUGGGGGAAACCCUGACGCAGCAACGCCGCGUGGAGGAUGAAAUCCCUUGGGAUGUAAACUCCUUUCGAUUGGGAAGAUUAUGACGGUACCAAUAGAAGAAGCCCCGGCUAACUUCGUGCCAGCAGCCGCGGUAAUACGAGGGGGGCAAGCGUUGUUCGGAAUUAUUGGGCGUAAAGGGUGCGUAGGCGGUUUGACAAGUCUUAUGUGAAAUCUAUGGGCUCAACCCAUAGUCUGCAUGAGAAACUGUUGAGCUUGAGUAUGGGAGAGGUGAGUGGAAUUUCCGGUGUAGCGGUGAAAUGCGUAGAUAUCGGAAGGAACACCUGUGGCGAAAGCGGCUCACUGGACCAUAACUGACGCUGAGGCACGAAAGCUAGGGGAGCAAACAGGAUUAGAUACCCCCGUAGUCC